rnacentral:rRNA from 1 species
GUAGGUGGCAAGCGUUGUCCGGAAUUAUUGGGCGUAAAGCGCGCGCAGGGCGGUCCUUUAAGUCUGAUGUGAAAGCCCACGUCUCAACCGUGGAGGGUCAUUGGAAACUGGGGGACUUGAGUACAGAAGAGGAAAGCGGAAUUCCAAGUGUAGCGGUGAAAUGCGUAGAGAUUUGGAGGAACACCAGCGGCGAAGGCGGCUUUCUGGUCUGUAACUGACGCUGAGGCGCGAAAGCGUGGGGAGCAAACAGGAUUAGAUACCCUGGUAGUCCACGCCGUAAACGAUGAGUGCUAAGUGUUAGGGGGUUUCCGCCCCUUAGUGCUGCAGCUAACGCAUUAAGCACUCCGCCUGGGGAGUACGGCCGCAAGGCUG